CUGUUGGCUAGACUGGUCUCAAAAUCCUGGCCUCAAGCAAUCCUCCCACCUGAGCCUCCCAAAGUGCUGGGAUUAUAGGCAUGAGCCACCACACAUCAUGUGAAAUCUCACACACACACAUCUGACUUGUUCACAUAAGCACACGUCACACACACACACACACACACACACACACACACAGGCGCACAGCGUCCUCAUCCAGAAACAAUUUCCUCAGUAUUUAUUAACACAAACUAGACAAAUGGUAGAAAAGCGAACAUCUUAUUACACAAUUUUUUCUAAUAGGAGAAUGUCCUGCCCUUGAGGAACCAUGAGCCCUUGAGAAUGUCAGAUGGUAAAUAAAUCAAUAAUUCGAACACAACGUGAAAAGAGUUAGAACAGGGGCAUACAAAGGAAUGCAAUGGGAAGAAUGACAGAAAAAUAUUGUCAUUAGCAAUUAGAAAAGGGAACAUCUCCAGUGCCUGGAGCUCCAAAUGCCCAGACUGAACUUGAAUCUCCUGCAACACAGACAAAAGAUUGGUCAUCAGCUAACCUCAGGACACAGCUCACCUCCAUUUUCUCAGAUACACCUAUGGCAGGUGAGGUGCCUUGUCUUAAAGGUUCCCGGGGUCCCACAGUCCCUUUCUGGUCUAGGCCAGAGCUACUCAACUUUUAAGGUGCUGCCAACCUCCUAGAGGGAGAGGGAGAGGGAGACGGGAAAGGUCUUAAGCUACAGAUUCUGCUUCAACAGGUUUGGGCUUGGGUUUAGGUCCUGAAUUUCCUUUUUUUUUUUUUUUUUUUUGACAGAGUCUUGCUCUGUCGCCCAGGCUGGGGCACACUGUAGACAGGAUUUCACCAUGUUGGCCAGGCUGAUCUCGAACUCUUGACCUCAAGCGAUCCACCCGCCUCGGCCUCCCAAAGCGCUGGGAUUACAGGCGUGAGUCACUGCGCCCGGCUGGGUUUAGGUCUGAAUUUCCUGCAAGUUCCCAGAGCAUGCCAGGCUGCUGAGGGCCAUUGCUUGAGUGGCGAGGCUCUCUGCAAACUGACAGUCUAAGCUGAGACAGAUAAUGCAAGAAUACAGCCCAAAUUUGGAACCUGCCACCAGGAGGAGGUGGCAGGAAUACAGAGGGAAGCCAGGCCCAGAGAACUCAGGGAAGCGAUGGAGAUGGAAACUCAGAUUAAAUUCUGAAGGAAGCCGGUGAAGGAAGCUGGAUCUGAAACUCUUCAGGGCUGCAAUAGCGUUGGUCCAGGAGCCCCUGCGGGUGGGGAGUGAAAACCCUAAGCCAAGCCCAGAUUGGGGACAGGGUUUCGCUGGUAGCAGGGCCCGGGAAGGGGGAACCCAGAAGCGCUCAGGAGGUGGCGCCAUAGCACAGAGAUUGAGUGGGUCCAGGACUGUGGGUUCAAAUCCUGCCUCUGCCUUUUAUGGGCUGUGUGAGUUUGAGCAACUUACUCAGCCUCUCUAAGCUUCAGUUUCCCUCAUGCAUGAAGUGGACACAAUACACACACAAAAACUGCUUACGUGUUCUUAGAGUUUUGAGAUUUGUAGGGAGGUUUCCUGUUUCUUAUUGCUUAAUAUUGGUCAUCGAUACAUUCUGUCUCGCUCUCUCUUAUUUUUUAAAAUGUUAUUAAUUUUUAUCAGGCACUCUCUGAGCCAGAGUAGUCUCAGAGACUCCCUCAUUUUUUCUUUUCUUUUUUUUUUUUUUUUUUUUUUUUUUUUGAGAUAGAGUCUCGCUCUGUCACCCAGAUUAGAGUGCAAUGGUGCAAUCUUGGCUUACUGCGACCUCCGCCUCCCAGGUUCAAGCAAUUCUCCUGCCUCAGCCUCCUGAGUAGCUGGGACUAUAGGUGCACUCCACGAUGCCCGGCUUAUUUUUUGUAUUUUUAGUAGAGACGAGGUUUCACCAUGUUGGCCAGGCUGGUCUCAAACUCCUGACCACAGGUGAUCCACCGGCCUCAGCCUCACAAAGUGCUGGGAU
rnacentral:lncRNA from 1 species